UACGUAGGGUGCAAGCGUUAAUCGGAAUUACUGGGCGUAAAGCGUGCGCAGGCGGUUAUGUAAGACAGUUGUGAAAUCCCCGGGCUCAACCUGGGAACUGCAUUUGUGACUGCACAGCUGGAGUGCGGCAGAGGGGGAUGGAAUUCCGCGUGUAGCAGUGAAAUGCGUAGAUAUGCGGAGGAACACCGAUGGCGAAGGCAAUCCCCUGGGCCUGCACUGACGCUCAUGCACGAAAGCGUGGGGAGCAAACAGG
rnacentral:rRNA from 1 species